rnacentral:misc_RNA from 1 species
UUUCCGUAGGUGAACCUGCGGAAGGAUCAUUAUCGUAUCUCCGAGGUGCGAGGGCUGUCGCUGACCCGUACUGUCGGGCACUCUCGAUUGCCCUCACACUCAUCCAUCUCACCCCUAUGUCCACCACCACGUGGGUCCCCGUUUGUCUUUUGCGGAGGCCGGCUCACGUUUUCACACAAACUAAGUAUGCGGUAUAAAAAGUAUUUAUUGUUUUUGCGAUCUCUCAAUCCAUACAACUUUCAACAACGGAUCUCUUGGGUCCCGCGUCGAUGGAAAACG